ACUAUUCCUAUGUAUAUAAAUAUGCAUAUGUAUAUAUAUAUAUACAUUUAUAUAAAAAUAUGUAUAUAAAGACGCGUGCACACAAACAUACAUAGAUACACACACACACAUAUAUAUAUAAAUACAUAUAGGUCUGUGUAUAUACAUGCAUUAAUGCGUAUAUUGAAUUGUAUACACACGUACAUAUGUUUAUGUGUGCGCGUGUAUCUGUAUAUAUGUAUAUAUGGGCAUAGACGUAUAUAUGUAUGCUUAUAAAUAUAUAGAUAUGAAAGUAUGUAUAUAUAUGCAUACUUAAAUAUAUGCAUAUAUAUACACAUACAUAUAUAUAUAUAUAUAUAUAAACAUAUAUGUGUGUAGAUAUACAUAUAUAUAUAUAUAUAUAUAUAUAUAUAUAUAUAUAUAUAUAAACAUACACACACACAGCGCGUGUGUAAGUAUGAAUUUAUGUAGGUAUGUAUUGUAAGGAUGUGUAAAUGAAGGACAUUUUCAACAAUGGUCUUACGAAGGUAGAAUGUUCACUCACAGCUUGAAUGCGUUUUAUGAAGUUUCUGGAUUAACAAGAACACCAACUCGCACGUACACACACACACACUCACACAUACACACCCUCACACACACACAUACAUACACACACAUACACACACUUACGACAUAUGUGCGUAUGUACAUUUAUAUAUAUAUCUAUCUCAUAUAUCUGAUAUAUAUAUAUAUAUUUGUAAAUUUACAUCAAAGUGUGUGUGUUUGUGUUUGUGUGUUUGUGUGUGUGUGUGUGUGUGUGUCUGUGUGUGUGUGUGUGACGGGAUUUGUUUACUCCACGGUAUGGAAACCGGUUUGCCAGUGUGUAAUCCUCCGUCGUUGAAAAGCUGAAGUAAUAACAUUAUUCUAGUGGUUAUGUUAGUGUAGUGAAAUAUUAACCACAUUUGUCUCUCCACCUUGCGACCUAGAAUCGUAACCGUGUCCAGUCUCGGAAAGACUGGACACUGUUAUCUACAAAUUGGGAAUAAAUAAUGGACAUGCGAUGACCCGUAUCCCCCCUAAUGCAUCGUUGGGUCAUCACCGAAUAUUUCGUAUUGUUGGUCUCAAGGCAGACAGAUUGAUGUCUUGCUGUUGUUAUUGUUAUUGUUGUUGUUGCUCGAGACCUUUCUACUCAUGUUCGAAGUAAAUGCGAUUUUCAGACGAUGGUUUAUAUAUAAACCCGGAGAUGCUUGUCUGUCGCUUGUACGUGAAGGGGGAUAAAAAAAAUUGAUAUUUAAAACUAAAUCGGUUCGACUUAAAAUGUCACAGCAAAUAUAAUCUACCAAGAAGAGUGAUUUCUCCACCUUGUGCAGUAGCCACCCGACCUCUGCUAGAAAUAGUACCUAAAUAGUCCUCAGUUCACACCGAGCAAGACAAAGAUGUUAUAUACUAUAUAUAAAAUAUACUUCGCUAUAUGGCCAGAAGUUAACUCCCCAGCUAUGCGGAUCUAGUUUCAAUCCCACUGCUUGGUCACUUGGAAAAGUGUUUUCUAUGACCCAGGGCCGACGAAAGCAUUGUGGGUGGAGUGGUAAACGGAAACUUUUAAAAGCCCGGCAAAUAUAUAUAUAUACUUUUUUUCUUGCAUCUGUUUCAAUCUGUAGCCAUACUGGAGCACCACUUUUAGUCGAGCAAAUCGACCCAAGAACUUAUUCAUUGUAAGCCUACUACUUUGGCCGAACUGUUAAGUUACGGGGACGUAAACACACCAGCAUCGGUUGUCAAGCGAGGGUGGGGGUGAUCAAACACAGACAAGCAAAUAUAUAUAUAUACGAUGGCCUUGGUCUGCCCGACACUUGUCUAAGGUGCCGCGCAGUGGCACUGAACUCGGAACCAUGUUGUUGGUAAGCAAGCUACUUACCACACAGCCGCACCACCAGCGCCUUAUAUAUAUAUAUAUAUAUAUAUAUAUAUAUAUAUAUAUAUAUAUAUAUAUAUAUAUAUAUAUAUAUAUAUAUAUAUAUAUAUACCUGUGAUAAUGCAAGUUUGUACCUCGAAUCCCGUAAAUUAGCGGUUCGUCAGAAGAUACUGACAGAAUAAAUUAACAAGGUUACAAGUCUUAAAAGAGAAAAAUAAAUUCUCGGGGUCGAUAUGUUAGACAAAACAUCCUUGAAGGCGGUGCUCCAGCAUGGCUGCAAUCCAGUGACUGUAAGAAUAUAGAAGACAACAAUAUCAAAAUAUAAAACACUAAAAAAAAAAAAAAAAAAGGUAACUUGAAGAUAUUUGAUGACCGCAGCCGGAUAGAAUGCUUUUGAUCGUGGUUAACCCAAACACAAUCCAACACUGCCAGAACAGUAACAACAACAACAACACCAACUGUAACCUCAGCACCACUACCACCAGUGUAGUUAAUUGUGUGUUGAUAGCGGCGCACGCACUUGUCUAGAGUUACCGACACCUAAUUUGUCAACAAAAAAUGCCGUUUGACAAAGCAAAUGAAGAAGGUUUUGUAUUACAUUCCAAAUAUUAUUCCUGCUGUUGGAAUACUGCUAAUAUUUUCUUCUACUCCUUGGCACAAGGCCUGAAAUUUUUGGGGAAAGUGGGGGGCAGUCGAUUAGCUCGAUACCAGUACGCAACUGGUACUUAAUUCAUCGACCCCGAAAUGAUGAAAAGCAAAAUCGACCUCGGCGGAAUUUGAACUAGGAACGUAAAGACAGAAGAAAUACCGCUAAAUACUGCUAAUAUUCUUCUCUACUCUAGGCAUAAGAAAGAGGGGCAGUCGAUUAGUUCGAUUCCAGUAUGCAGCUGGUACUUAAUUUAUCGACCCCGAAAGGAUGAAAUGCAAAUUCGAUCUCGGUGGAAUUUGAAGUCGGAACAUAAAGACAGAUGAAAUACUGCUAAAUAGUGCUAAUAUUCUUUUCUACUCUAGGCACAAGGCCCGAAAUUUUGGGGGAAGUGGGGAUAGUCGAUUAGCUAAACACCAGUACAUAACUGGUACUUAAUUUAUCGACCGCGAAAGGAUGAAAUGCAAAUUCGACCUCGGCGGAAUUUGAACUCAGAGCAUAAAGACAGAUUAAAUAACGCUAAAUACUGCUAAUAUUGAGACUAAUUCGGGUGUUGAAUUGUAAGAAUGAGUAGAGCAUUCGACGAAAUAGCUUGCGUUGUUCACCGUCGUAAUUUUAGAUUCUGAGUUCAAAUUCCGUUAAAGGUUGGCAUGUUGUGAUUUUGCGUAUGUCACCCGUACAGGUGCGAUGAAAGAUAAUAACAGUUAGGUACAUGGGAAUAAUAUAAUAUAAAGUGAUAUAAAAUACGUAUGUAUACAUUCACAUAUAAUGCUUAUAUACACACGUAUAUGUGGGUGUGUAAUUAAAUAUUUCCUCAGUCUCUAUGAAUAUGUAAACACGCAUAUAUAUAAACAUGUGCAUACACACACGCACAGAUGCGUCUGAGAAUCACUAAACAUACACACACUGAUAAACACACACACACACACACACACACAUAUAUAUAUAAAUAGAGAGAGAUAAAUACACACAUAUACAUAACAUAUAUAGGGAGAUGGAGAAACUCACACACACACAUGCACACAGUCACACCCAUAUAUAUUGAGAGAGAUAAAUGCAUACACAUACAUAGCAUACAUAGAAAGAUGGACACACACACACAAAAAUGCGUCUGAGAAUCUCUAUACAUACACACACUGAUAAAUACACACACACAUAUAUAGAGAGAGAUAUAAAUGCACACACAUAACAUACGUAGAGAAAUGGACUCAUACACACACACACACACACACACACAUAUAUAUAUAUAUAUAUAUAUAUAUAUAUAUAUAUAUAAGAGAGAGAGAGAUAAAUACACACACAUACAUAAAAUACAUAGAUGGUCACACGCACACACACGCGCGCACACACACACACACACAUACAAAUUCACUCACGCAAGUCGCAUUUAUCUAGCCAGAAAUAAAAUCUAUGAAUGUUAGAAAUCAAUAUCAGAAAUAAUCGAUACUGUAGAUUGGUAUUUAGUCACGGUGCUUUACGUUCUGAGUUCAAAUCCCGCUGAGGACAACUUUGCCUUUCAUCCUUCCAGGGUUGAUAAAACGCGAAAAUCGAUUUAAUCAACACCAUUCUUCCCCCAUCUAACGGUAUCUUGUGCUAGAAAUCGAUAUUAACACUGAUUGAUUCCUCGAGACAGUGUAGGAGACCUACAGCCACCAAGGAAUUUGACAUGCUAGAAAUAGCAACCAAAUCUACCUCAAAACCACAGUCGUUAACAUUUUAUAGAUGAGGUAGGACAAAUUGGGAUAAAAUACUUAGUAUAAUGGAUCUCCGUCGGAUUCGACGAUGUGAGUUGUUGAUCAACUGCUCUCUGAAUUAGUGUGUAAGUGAACAUACGGCAUAAAAGUAUACCUUUCAUAUAAUGCGUUUUAUCAACCCUGGAAGGAUGGAAGGCAAAGUUAUCCUCAGCGGGAUUUGAACUCAGAACGUAAAGCACCGUGACUAAAUACCAAUCUAUAAUAUCAAAUUCCGAAUGUCGCCACAUGUGACAUGGUUCUACGUUUGAAUUACGUGUACAAUCUACCCGAUAGUCUUCUACAGUGAUACCGUCUACCCGCUUUUAACAUAACCGAAGGAGGAACCUAGAGUUUGAUAAAGUAGUGUACCUAAAAUACCACACGGUGGGAUCGAAACCGCGAUUGCACAAUUGCGGUCUUUCAAUAAAUAAAUUAAAAUAUAAGUGAUUGUCUCAUCUCGAAUAAGUUUAAUCAAAGAACUACUGAAUCACAUUGAUCUGAUAUUAAACACAACAACAACAUCAAUAGCAAAACAUGAGUAAUUUUGGCAAGAACAGGUAAAUCGGAUAUAGUAAUAGUAAACACAUUUUCUGAAUAUAAGAUGCGAUAGUCACGGGAGGAAAGCUUUGGUGUUGUAGCACCACAAAUAUUUAACUUUCUGCAGCAAUAGUGUUCAGUCAAAAUAUCUUAAGUAAACGGGCUUCAGUUGAAUUAAACUGGGGCCAGUUUUAAACAUAUAUACAUACACACA
rnacentral:lncRNA from 1 species